GCGUACCUGAGGCGCCUUCGUCCACCGGCCCCUACGAUGAGUACUAUGUUCGCGGACACUGUCCUCAUCGUCUUCAUCUCGGUGUGCACCGCGCUGCUGGCCGAGGGCAUAACAUGGGUGCUGGUGUAUCGAACAGACAAGUACAAGAGGCUGAAAGCAGAGGUGGAGAAGCAGAGUAAAAAACUGGAAAAAAAGAAGGAAACAAUAACUGAAUCGGCUGGCCGGCAGCAGAAGAAGAAAAUAGGU